UGGGGAAUAUUGGGGCAAUGGGGCGCAAGCCUGACCCAGCGACGCCGCGUGAAGGAAGAAGGUCUUCGGAUUGUAAACUUCUGUUGUAAGGGACGAAGAAAAUGACGGUACCUUACGGGGAAGCCACGGCUAACUACGUGCCAGCAGCCGCGGCAAUACGUAGGUGGCGAGCGUUAUCCGGAUUUACUGGGUGUAAAGGGUGUGUAGGCGGGAGAGCAAGUCAGAUGUGAAAAUUAUGGGCUCAACUCAUAAACUGCAUUUGAAACUGUUUUUCUUGAGGGUCGGAGAGGUAAAUGGAAUUCCCAGUGUAGCGGUGAAAUGCGUAGAUAUUGGGAGGAACACCAGUGGCGAAGGCGAUUUACUGGACGACAACUGACGCUGAUGC
rnacentral:rRNA from 1 species